rnacentral:rRNA from 1 species
CCGCUUCAGCAGGGAAGAAACUGACGGUACCUGCAGAAGAAGGUGCGGCCAACUACGUGCCAGCAGCCGCGGUGACACGUAGGCACCAAGCGUUGUCCGGAUUUAUUGGGCGUAAAGAGCUCGUAGGCGGUUCAGUAAGUCGGGUGUGAAAACUCUAGGCUCAACCCAGAGACGCCACCCGAUACUGCUGUGACUUGAGUACGGUAGGGGAGUGGGGAAUUCCUGGUGUAGCGGUGAAAUGCGCAGAUAUCAGGAGGAACACCAGUGGCGAAGGCGCCACUCUGGGCCGUAACUGACGCUGAGGAGCGAAAGCGUGGGUAGCAAACAGGAUUAGAUACCCUGGUAGUCCACGCCGUAAACGUUGGGCACUAGGUGUGGGUCUCAAACCAACGAGAUCCGCGCCGUCGCUAACGCAUUAAGUGCCCCGCCUGGGGAGUACGGUCGCAAGACUA